UUGUUAGGGAAGGAAAUGCUGUGUGAUUCUGGCUAUGGCUCCAACAAGCUGACCUUUGGCUCAGGGACCAGACUUUCUGUUCAGCCACAUGUUACUCCAUCUCCUUCAGUCUACAGGCUGACCUCUGCAGAUGACAAGAAUUUGGAAAUGUGCCUCAUCACGGAUUACUCCCCUGAAAAGCUUGAUCUUAGCUCAGUUGAUAGUAAGACAGAAGCUGUUGUGGAAGUGGCAACAUCUGAGAACAAACAUGAAGUGAGCUACCUGUCAACCUACUGGGCCAAGAAGGAUGAAAUGCAGUGUGGUGCCAAGCACGAGGGAUUUGGAAUACUAGAAGGAGGUGAUCCUGAAGCAGGUGUCAGCAGUGUCUGCAUUACAGGGAUGUCGCCGCACUUCAAGACAGAUGAGAACCUGAACAUGCUGACUUUUUCACAACUGGGCCUGAAAAUAAUUUUAUUAAAAGCAAUAAUUUUUAAUGUGGUGAUGACGAUGCUUAUGUGGAAAAAAAAUGAAGGAAAGUAACCAGACAGCGCAGAUGUGAAGUACUGAAAAAAAUCUGCUGAAGAAUCAUUAUUGGAAUAAUGGGUGCAAGAGGUUCUGCUACUGCAAUAUAGAAUACAAUUCAGUUUUCCUGUGUAUCACACCAGCCAUUAUAGUCUAAACUGCUUUAUGUGCAUCUUUAUAAAGCUACUCAGAAAUAUGCUUACAAUUCUCAGCAUUGUGCUUAGUUAGCAUGAUUUUUUUUAAGAAGUAGAGAUUGCUGUAACUGUAUUGUCAAACAUCUCUAUUACUUGCAUUAAAACAACAUAAAAUUUCUGCUUCUAUCAAAUUGUUAAGGUCUACAUGGCAUUUCUUUAGGCCUAUUAAAUAAUUAUUACUGAUAACAAUAAACUUAUUCAGUUUUUGUAUCUCUCA